AAGAGUCUAGCCUGCCCAGUGAUUUUUUUAACGGCCGCGGUACUUUGACCGUGCAAAGGUAGCAUAAUCAUUUGCCUUAUAAUUGAAGGCUAGUAUGAAAGGUUUAACGAAAGUUAAGCUGUCUUUUUUUGUAUAAAAUGAAAUUAACUUAUAAGUGCAAAGGCUUAUAUAUGACUAGAAGACAAGAAGACCCUAUUGAGCUUAUAAAAAUAUUAUGGAGUAAAGUAUAUAUAAAAAUUCUAAUCUUUUUAAAUUUUUAGUUGGGGCGACUUAGGAAUCAAAAAAACUUCCUAGUAUUAAAGUUACUUUUAUAUUUUAUCCAAAAUUUUUUGAUUAUCAGAAUUAGUUACCAUAGGGAUAACAGCAUAAUCUUUCUUAGGAGUUCUAAUCGAAAGAAAGGAUUGUGACCUCGAUGUUGGACUAGAAUAUCCUAAAGGUGCAGAAGCUUUUGAGGGUUGGUCUGUUCG
rnacentral:rRNA from 1 species